rnacentral:rRNA from 1 species
AUUGAACGCUGGCGGCAGGCCUAACACAUGCAAGUCGAGCGGCAGCGGAAAGUAGCUUGCCACUUUGCCGGCGAGUGGCGGACGGGUGAGUAAUGUCUGGGAAACUGCCUGAUGGAGGGGGAUAACUACUGGAAACGGUAGCUAAUACCGCAUAACGUCGCAAGACCAAAGAGGGGGACCUUUGGGCCUCUUGCCAUCAGAUGUGCCCAGAUGGGAUUAGCUAGUAGGUGGGGUAACGGCUCACCUAGGCGACGAUCCCUAGCUGGUCUGAGAGGAUGACCAGCCACACUGGAACUGAGACACGGUCCAGACUCCUACGGGAGGCAGCAGUGGGGAAUAUUGCACAAUGGGCGCAAGCCUGAUGCAGCCAUGCCGCGUGUAUGAAGAAGGCCUUCGGGUUGUAAAGUACUUUCAGCGGGGAGGAAGGUGUUGUGGUUAAUAACCACAGCAAUUGACGUUACCCGCAGAAGAAGCACCGGCUAACUCCGUGCCAGCAGCAGCCGCAG